rnacentral:rRNA from 1 species
AUUGAACGCUGGCGGCAGGCUUAACACAUGCAAGUCGAGCGAGCGGCGGACGGGUGAGUAAUGUCUGGGAAACUGCCUGAUGGAGGGGGAUAACUACUGGAAACGGUAGCUAAUACCGCAUACCAUCGGAUGUGCCCAGAUGGGAUUAGCUAGUUGGUGGGUUAAAGGCUCACCUAGGCGACGAUCCCUAGCUGGUCUGAGAGGAUGACGAGCAACACUGGAACGGAGACACGGUCCAGACUCAUACGGGAGGAAGCAGUGGGGAAUAUUGCACAAUGGGCGCAAGCCUGAUGCAGCCAUGCCGCGUGGAUGAAGAAGGCCUUCGGGUUGUAAAGUACUUUCAGCGGGGAGGCGUUACCAGCAGAAGAAGCACCGGCUAACUCCGAGCCAGCAGCCGCGGUAAUUC